GUUGGCGGCGGGGGCAGGUGUGGAAAAAGGACAAGCCCUGGCCCCAUGCCGAACUCAGAAGUGAAACGCCGUAGCGCCGAUGGUAGUGUGGGGUUUCCCCAUGCGAGAGUAGGGAACUGCCAGGC
rnacentral:rRNA from 1 species